GUGGGGAAUUUUGCGCAAUGGGCGAAAGCCUGACGCAGUAACGCCGCGUGGAGGAUGAAAGCCUUCGGGUUGUAAACUCCUGUCAGGAGGAACGACGAUCAGGGUGUGAAUAGCACCUCUAAUCAGACGGUACCUCCAAAGGAAGCCCCGGCUAAUUCCGUGCCAGCAGCCGCGGUAAUACGGAAGGGGCAAGCGUUGUUCGGAAUCAUUGGGCGUAAAGGGCGCGUAGGUGGCUUUGUAUGUCUACCGUGAAAGCAUACAGCUUAACUGUAUAAGGUCGGUAGAAACUGCAAGGCUUGAGGUUGGGAGGGGCUGGUGGAAUUCCCUGUGUAGCGGUGAAAUGCGUAGAGAUGGGGGAGAACACUUGUGGCGAAGGCGGCCAGCUGGACCAAAUCUGACACUGAUGCGCGACAGCGUGGGGAGCAAACAGGAUUAGAAACCCGGGUAGUCC
rnacentral:rRNA from 1 species